UACAGAGGUCCCAAGCGUUGUUCGGAUUCAUUGGGCGUAAAGGGUGUGUAGGUGGCGCGCUAAGUCGGGUGUGAAAUUUCGGAGCUUAACUCCGAAACUGCAUUCGAUACUGGCGUGCUUGAGGACUGGAGAGGAGACUGGAAUUUACGGUGUAGCGGUGAAAUGCGUAGAUAUCGUAAGGAAGACCAGUGGCGAAGGCGGGUCUCUGGACAGUUCCUGACGCUGAGGCACGAAGGUCAGGGAGCAAACGGG
rnacentral:rRNA from 1 species